GACGAACGCUGGCGGCGUGCUUAACACAUGCAAGUCGAACGGAAAGGCCCUGCUUUUGUGGGGUGCUCGAGUGGCGAACGUGUGAGUAACACGUGAGUAACCUGCCCUUGACUUUGGGAUAACUUCAGGAAACUGGGGCUAAUACCGGAUAGGAGCUCCUGCUGCAUGGUAGGGGUUGGAAAGUUUCGGCGGUUGGGGAUGGACUCGCGGCUUAUCAGCUUGUUGGUGGGGUAGUGGCUUACCAAGGCUUUGACGGGUAGCCGGCCUGAGAGGGUGACCGGCAACAUUGGGACUGAGAUACGGCCCAGACUCCUACGGGAGGCAGCAGUAGGGAAUAUUGCACAAUGGGCGGAAGCCUGAUGCAGCAACGCCGCGUGCGGGAUGACGGCCUUCGGGUUGUAAACCGCUUUCGCCUGUGACGAAGCGUGAGUGACGGUAAUGGGUAAAGAAGCACCGGCUAACUACGUG
rnacentral:rRNA from 1 species